UCAACUCAAUAAUAAGAAAAAAAAAAAAAACAAUUUAUAUAAAAAAUUUAGAAAAAACUUCAAAUACCACCAUGUGGUUCCGUACUUUCUCACUUUACUGUACUUGUAUCAAUUUGAUAUUCUGUGGUUUUAUUAUUCUCUUUUUAUUAUCAAUUUCACUAAUUUUUUUCGUUAAAUCAAUAACAAAGUUAAAACUAAAGGAUACUAAAGUGAAUAUUCGAUAAACCUAGGUAGGAUAUUUGAAUAUUUUUGUAUAUAAUUUAAUAAAAUAUUAACAAAGAAGCUGACAAAAAGACAAAAAUGAAAUCACAGGGUACUAACUUAAUACACUUUAAACCACGGGAUACUAAAGUGAGAUAGUGUGAAACCACAGGGGUGGUAUUUGUAGUUUACCGAAAAAUUUACUAAUUUUGAGAUUUUUGCAAAAGUUGUCUUUUUAUAUUUUACAGAGUUAAAUUUUUAGAAAACUGAGAAAAAUAUUCUUAUUCACUUUUUUCUCUAUUUCUUUUUUCUCGCGUUCUUCUUUUUCUACAAUCCGACCCUUCUCCAUCGCCUCCGCAGCCCCCCGCAACGGUAAAAAAGACAGCGCCACGUCCUCUUCCACCACCUUCGUCGGCGCAGACACUGAAAAGACUCGGAGCAAGGAUGAGUGAGAAUAGAGAGGACGGAGGCGAUGAGGUCGCGGCCGAGGUAGUGCUCGCUGUCGCCUAUGAGGGCGAGGGCGAAGAUACGCCUGCACUUCUCUGAGGAGCACUUCCGGCGAGAGGGUGGCCGUUGUAGAGGGCGAGGGAGAUAUCGCGAUAACAUAAAAUGAUGCAGCUAAUAGAAAAAAAAAAAAGAAGAAUGAAAAUUUUAAAAAAUUUAAAAAAUAUUUUCUCUACAAAAAAGACAAAGAACUAGAGAUAAACGAAGAAGAUGAAGUUGCACUAUUAAGAUGAAGUUGUACUGUUUCAAAAAAAUGUUACACUAUUUUCCACGAAAGUUACAUUUUUUGAGAUAAAAAUUAUGCUGUUCGAGAUGAAAGUUGCACUCUUUGAACAAAAGUUGUAUAUUUUGGACGAAAGUUACAUUUUUUGGUGAAA
rnacentral:lncRNA from 1 species